ACCUGUUCCCAUACCGAACACAGAAGUUAAGCCUCUUAGCGCUGAUGGUACUUGGCUGGAAACGGCCCGGGAGAGUAGGUCGUCGCCGGAU
rnacentral:rRNA from 1 species